rnacentral:lncRNA from 1 species
UAUGAAAAGACACCCGUUCAGGAAAAGGUACAACCGUUCGUCGCCAGGAUGCAUGAAGCAAAGGACUCCGGGAAAUAGAGAUAGUUAGUGAUUAGGUGUCUGUUAGAAAAGGUGUCUGUUAGUGAAAAGUUGUAACUCUUUCUCUCUCUCUGUAAUCCACGAAGGGGUACAAAGACACCCCUUCACUGUGUAUAAAUAUGUACUAGAUCAAUGGAAAGGGACUACGAGUUCUCAUUCUCUGUUCACACAACCGUUUACUUUUAACACGUUAUCAGCACAUAGACUCAGCCACUGAGUUUGGGAAAGAGGGAACAACGCGAAGAAAUAGAAGAACAGAAGAACGCGAAGAAAGGAAAAACAUCGCAGAAUACAAGAACAGAAGAACGCGAAGAAAACUGUAAGUACAAUGCCACCGAUUACUCUUCGACGCGUUGUUCAGGCGAUCCGCCGUGCCGUCAUCAGGGAGUUCCUCCGCGCAUACCGUGAAGGAAUCCUCGACGACAAUCGGAUUGGCUUUGCCAUUCACAGGGUAAUGGUGAAUCUGGUUAACACCGGUGCCACCGGUGUCUGGAUUCCAAAUCGCCGCAGUCAUAAUCGCAGUUCAUCUCGUCGUCGUCGAGCACCACCAGUGGUGGUUCCCCCUCCACCGCCGGCGACAGCAACGUCCACACAAGUACCUGCAUCAGUGUUUCAAAUGGGAGAGACUUACCCGCAUGGUUACUGUCCAUUUCACGGAUUCGGACCAUGUGCUCUGCGCGACGCCGGCGUGCUGGAGGCUACUCUCACCGCUGCCCGCCAGUACUACAACUCUCAAGCGCAACCUGAUGCAGUUCCCAUGGAGGAGAUGCUCGCCACGGUCGCGGCUCCAAACCUUUACUCACCGACACCGGAGGUGGAACCUACUGCACCGCGUUGGAGACCACCAACACCGGCACCGCCAGGUUUCGGUCGUCCUCCAACCAGAGCAGCAAGAACAGGGUGUCCACCCUUCUUCAACGACGACGAGGUCAUACCACCGCCACCAUCCGUGGUCCCGAUGCCAUCCCCUGCCUUGAUUGAACGCAGCCGAGGUGCACAAAUCGGACUGUGGGCGAACCUCAACUCCGUCAAAGUCGAAUCCCCAAACUCUGACGGCGCCAGUGCAUCUGGUUUCCUCUUCUCUGAUGAGGAGAGGGAGGAUUCUCUGUCCUAAAAAAAACAGAGGAAGAAGGGGAAGACAGGGGGGAUUGCUCGUGCUUAUGCGGCGUACUUGGACUGAUGGCAAGAUGGCGGCGACCGGGACGCGAACCCGUAGGCGGUCGGACCCGCGACUAGCGUCCGUACAGCGCGCGCUCGCGGCUGGCGUCCGUGCAGCGCCCGCGGCUGGCGUCCGCGCGCUCGCGGCUGGCGUCCGUGCAGCGCCCGCGGCUGGAGGCCGCGCCCGCGAUGGCGGCCGAACGGCGCUGGCGAUCCAGCGCGCGCCUGCGCCUGGCGACCGAGCAGCGCGCCUGCGGCUGGCGGCCAAGCGCGCGCCUGCUGCCCGCGGCUGGAGGUCCAGCGCGCCUGCGGCUGGCGGCUGGCGGCCGGAUCCACGGCUGGAGGCCGCGCUCGCGGAUGGUGGCAUGGCCAGCGGAUGGAUGCCGAGCCCGCGAUGGCGUCUGGUGCCGGCGGCUGGAAGAAGAUGAGACUAGGGUUUCGAAGCCCCUGGUUUUAUUUUCUUUUACCCUCGACAACCGCCGCUGAUGGGCUAGAACGCUGCAUGGGCCAAGUUGUCUACGGAUAUACACAGAACCCCUAAUUCCCCUUUUUAAUAUGGUUAUGGUUCAUUCAGACCCAUACCCGUCUUAUUAAUUUGUACAUAUGUGUUAGUUUACAUAUUCUAGCAAUUUUCUUUUGCAUUUCUACUAUAACAUUAGUUAGAUGUAUCUAUAUAUUAUGUUACAGUUGUAAAAUGUAACCGUGAAUAUGUGAAUGUAUAUAUGUGUUUGUGUACAUUUUUUUGCCUUUUAUGUAUUUUUUUAAAAAAAAAUGAUGACACUACGCUACAGAUUUAACUCUCACAAUCAAUAUAUAUUUGAUUUGUUCUUAGGGUUAAAAGAAAUAUACAUUUACAUAUAUUUGCAAAUUCUUAUAUAACACAUAUAUCAUUAAAUUAAAUGUAUCUAAAAUUAUUUUAAGAAUCAACAUAAGGUGAUAGAGACUAGGGCAUUGGCUGCGUCUUAUUCAAAAAAAAUGAAUAUUUCUGCCUAGAGACCAUACCUUUUAAGCAGCAAUUUAAAUUGCCUAUCACUAAGAGAUCUACAUCAUAUCUUAAUAUGAUGAUUAUCUAUACAUGUUCUUCUCAUAAAAUAAUACUCUAGAUACUUGGUCUACUCCAUUACUGGAGAUUACCUUAUUUUUUUAAAAAAAAUAACAAUUUGUGGCAAUACAUAAUUAGGAGGUUAUAACAACUUCGAAUAUCUAUGACUUCAAAGAAUUUUAUAGGAUAAACAAUAUUUUAAUUUUACAACACGGCCAUUAAGGUUUUAUAUUUACCACAUAGGUAACAUAAUAAAUCGAUGGUUAUACCUUGUAGGCAAAAUGCAAGGAAUAAAGGAAUUUGAGGAACUUGCUAUCGAUGGUAGCAAUUAUCUUGCAUGGGCAUCAGAUAUCAAAAUUGGUUUUGCAUCUAGAGGGAUUUUACAUACCAUUAAUGCACCUGACGCAAACAAUCCAAAUAUAACUGAUAUUGCGAAGUACACUGCAUUACUCUUGUUAAGGACUUCCAUCCAUAAAGAUCUAAAGAAAGAAUAUCUUUUGGAAGAAAAUCCUCGAAACCUAUGGGUCGCACUUCAAGAACGUUAUGAACAGCAAAAGGAAAUUAUAUGUCCUGAAGCACAACAUGAGUGGAAUCAUCUACGCUUACAAGAUUUUAAAUCUAUAACUGAUUACAAUCAUACAGUUCAUAACAUAUGUACAAGGUUGAAAUUUUGUGAAAAAGAACCAACGGAUGCAGAAAAGAUACAAAAAACUUUAUCUACUAUGCACCCGUCAGACAGGGUAUUGUGUAAUCAAUAUCGUAAAGAGAACCACCAAGUUUAUUCCCAGCUUAUUCACUCACUAAUUCAAGCCGAGAAGAAUGAUGAGUUACUUAUGAAGAACCAUCAUUUACGUCCAGUUGGUGCUGCACCUCUACCCGAGGUCCACCAUGCACAGAAUAAAGCUCUGAAUAAAAGGAAAUUUAAUGGAUCUCCACUUAGAAAUCCAAAAUUUCCUCCUGCUCAUCGUGGUCGCAACUUUAAAAAGAACCUUAGGCAUAAAGAAAACAAGAGAGCUCGUGGAAAUGAAAAAAUUGCAAAUGACAAACCACGUCUUUGUCACAAGUGUGGUUGUAACACGCAUUUCGCGGCCACUUGCCGUACUCCUAAGCAUUUGGUAGACCUUUAUUUAAGGUCACUCCGAGAUGGCAAUAAAAGAUCAAGAUAUGAAGCCCACUUCAAUCAAGCUACUGAGAAAGAUAAGGAGAUUGGUUGUUCCAACAACAAGACAUCCGCUCAGCAGAUGGACGACAUGAUGAUUGAAUACAACUCGGGCGACAUAUGUGGAUAUCUAGUUUAGAUAUCUACUUUUGAAAUUUGAUACCCAAAUCAUUUAAGUGUUGUAAUAUAAUUCAUAGUUAGAAGUCAUAUUAUAUAGAGUUUGCUUAGGAUUUGAAGAUAGUUAUUACAAUAAGAGUUGUACUAAUGAUAGUACAAAAACUCAUAUAUACCAUAAUAUUAUUAUUGUAAUAUUGAUAUCAGAUACCAUAUGUAUGUAUAAAUAAAUAUUUAAUAAAAUAAAGAAUUAAUCACAUAAUUCUUGUUAUUAAUAUAGAUGUCUACCGGAAACAGUUCAUUGGAGGAGGAAUUAUGCCUUGUGGAUAGCUGUACCACAAACUCUAUAUUAACUGAGAUAAAAUAUUUCCAGACUUUAAAGAAAAGGGAAGGAAAUGUUUUAACAAUUGCAGGAAGAGAUGCAUUGAUAGUUGGUUCUGGUAGAGCCAUUAUCACUCUUCCAAUGGGUACUCAAAUUGUGAUCGAGAAUGCUUUAUUAUAUCCCGAUUCAACUCGUACCUUAUUAAGUUAUAGAGAUAUUCGUAAGAAUGGGAUCCAUGUGGAAACAUAUGAAGAAAAUAAAGAAGAAUAUCUACUUCUUACCAAACCUACUGAAUAUGGCAAACAGAUAUGUGAAAAAAUUCCAACUCUAGAAUCCGGAUUAUAUUAUACAUACAUCAAGCCCAUUGAACAUGUUGCAUACAAGGUAAUUUUUCAGAAUGUCGAUGCAUUUCAAAUUUGGCAUGAUCGACUAGGGCACCCAGGUAUCGGGAUGAUGAGAAAAAUUAUCACCAAUUCUAUUGGUCAUGAUUUGACUGAAGCAAAAUUUCCCAAAUCUUCAGAUUAUAUAUGCACUGCAUGUGCUACAGGGAAAUUGAUUUUAAGACCUUCACCUCUUAAAAUCCGAGCGGAACCACUUAGAUUUCUUGAAAGAAUUCAAGGCGAUAUUUGUGGCCCAAUUGAGCCAUCUUCUGGACCGUUCAGAUAUUUUAUGGUUUUAGUCGAUGCAUCUACAAGAUGGUCACAUGUGUGUUUACUGUCUACUAGAAACCAUGCUUUUGCUAAAAUAAUGUCACAAAUUAUAAAGCUAAAGGCACAUUAUCCUGAACAUCGGAUCCAAUCGAUCCGAAUGGACAAUGCUGCUGAAUUUUCCUCCCAUGCCUUUAAUGAUUAUUGUAUGGCUUUAGGAAUUCAGGUCCAGCACUCAGUCCCAUAUGUCCACACUCAAAAUGGUUUGGCUGAAUCUUUAAUCAAAAGAAUAAAGCUCGUUGCACGUCCAUUACUAAUGAAUUGCUCUUUGCCUACGUCAUGUUGGGGUCAUGCAGUUUUACACUCUGCCGACCUACUACAACUAAGACCAACUGCAUAUCAUGACUCCUCUCCCUUGGAGUUAGUACGAGGGGACCCUCCUAGGAUUUCCUAUUUGCGUAAAUUCGGGUGUGCCGUUUAUAUACCGAUAUCACCACCACAGCGUACCUCUAUGGGCCCCCACAGAAAGUUAGGGAUUUAUGUGGGUUACCAAUCUCCGUCAAUAAUAAAGUAUUUAGAACCCCUAACGGGUGAUCUAUUUACGGCCCGGUUCGCUGAUUGUAUUUUUAAUGAGGAACAUUUCCCGGCAUUAGGGGGAGAUUUCAAGUACCAGAAAGGAGAAUGCCGAGAAAUUGAUUGGGAUGCGAAAAGUAUCUCCUCCUCAGAUCCCCGUACUAAAGAAAAUGAACUACAAGUUCAGAAAAUUAUUGGUUUGCAAAAUAUUGCAAAUAACCUGCCUGAUGCAUUCACUAAUUACAAAGGUGUAAUAAAGUCUUUCAUUCCUGCUAGGAACGCGCCUGAAAGAGUGGAGGUACCAAACAAAACCACUCAAAAUCCUACUAAUAAAAGGGGGAGAAGUAAGGCAACCAAUAAGGAUUCGCCUCCUUUAAAGAAAAGAAAGACGGUAAAUGCACAUCAACAACAAGUUGAUGAAACACAAUGUGGAAUUGAUACACAACCCUCUUCGAAUGCGCACAUAGUCGAAGAAGUAAUAUCGGAAAACCCGAGGACCAUGGAUAUGGGAAAUCCUAAUGUGUCCUUAAGGGUAGAUGAACUUGCUACCAAUUAUAUUGAAACUGGUGAAACCUUUGACCGCAAGGCUACUGUAGUCGACUCUUAUUUCUCUGAACAAGUUGCUGACAUCCUUAAUGAUCUAGAUCCUAAAUCCAUGGUAGAGUGUAGAAAACGCUCAGACUGGAAUCAGUGGAAAGAAGCUAUUGAAAAAGAGAUUGCCUCGCUUUAUAAAAGAGAAGUAUUCUCGGAAGUGAUGUUAACACCUAAAGGCACCUUCCCAGUAGGAUACAAGUGGGUUUUCGUUCGUAAGCGAAACGAAAACAACGAAGUGGUGAGAUAUAAAGCAAGGUUAGUAGCACAAGGCUUUACGCAAAAGCCCGGCAUUGAUUAUAAUGAAACAUAUUCUCCAGUAAUGAGUGGCAUAACAUUUCGAUACUUAAUUUCACUGGCAGUACAAAAUCGUCUAUCUUUGCAGUUGAUGGACGUAGUAACCGCAUAUUUAUAUGGGUCACUGGAUUCGGAAAUUUAUAUGAAAGUUCCAGAUGGAAUAAAUAUACCGAAUCCAUCGGCAAAUCGUAACAUGUAUUGUGUAAAGUUGAAAAAGUCACUAUAUGGCUUAAAACAAUCAGGGCGAAUGUGGUACAAUCGCUUAAGUGAUUUCCUUUCUCUUAAAGGAUACACUAAUAAUGAUGAUUGUCCAUGUGUGUUCAUUAAAAAAUCCUCCACUGGAUUUUGUAUCAUUUCAGUAUAUGUUGAUGACCUCAAUAUUAUUGGAAACGAAAAAGAUAUAAAUGAAGCACGUCAUCAUUUAAAGACGGAAUUUGAGAUGAAGGAUUUGGGUCAAACCAAAUUUUGUUUAGGUAUUCAACUUGAAUAUUUACCUUCAGGAAUUUUUAUAUAUCAAUCGGCAUAUAUCCAGAAAGUAUUAGAGAAAUUCAAUAUGGAUAAAGCAUAUCCAGUCAAAACUCCUAUGGUUGUAAGAUCUCUCGAUAUGAAUAAAGAUCCUUUUCGACCAAAGGAUGAAGGAGAAGAGAUUUUGGGUUAUGAAUUUCCAUAUCUCAGUGCUAUUGGAGCACUCAUGUAUCUUGCAAAUAAUUCCCGGCCGGACAUUGCAUUUGCAGUGAAUUUACUUGCGAGAUAUAGUGCAGCUCCUACAAAACGUCAUUGGACCGGAAUUAAGAAUAUUUUUAGAUAUCUUAAUGGCACGAGAGAUCUUGGUCUUUUCUAUAGUAGAAGUCAAGACCCUACUUUAAUUGGAUAUACUGAUGCUGGCUAUUUAUCUGAUCCCCAUAAUGCCAGAUCACAAACCGGUUUUGUAUUUUUACAGGGUGGAACUGCUAUCUCUUGGAAAUCAUCCAAACAAACUUUGGUAGCUACCUCCACUAAUCAUUCUGAAAUUAUUGCAUUAUAUGAAGCCUCUAAGGAGUGUACUUGGCUUCGCAGAAUGAUAAACCACAUAACGCAGUCAUGUGGCAUUGGUUCAAUUAACUCACCAACCAUUAUCUAUGAAGAUAAUGCUGCCUGUGUUGUUCAGAUGGAGACUGGUUAUAUAAAAAGUAAUAUUACAAAACAUAUUGCUCCAAAAAUUGUUUUACCCUCAUGAGUUACAAAAGGAUGGGGAAAUAAACAUUUUGCAAACUAAGUCAUGUGAUAAUCUCGGUGACUUAUUUACAAAGUCAUUACCAUAUUCCACAUUUUCGAAAUAUGUUAAAGGAAUAGGUAUGAGACGACUUAGAGAUUUGCAGGAAUCAGGGGGAGUAUCACUCUCCAAAAUAUAACCUAGUUGACAUUAUAUUAUACUCUUUUCUUUCUAUGGAUUUUUCCCUCGAUGAGGUUUUACCAUAUAAAGUUUUUAAUGAGGUAAUAUCAACAUAGGACAUAUGUCAUAUCAUCUAUUUUUCCCACAGGGUUUUUACAAGAUAAUAAUAGACAUAAUAGAUUAGAGAUUGUUAGUUUAUAUAUUCCAAGUUGAUCUCAAUAAAAUGGAUUCGAUCAAGGGGGAGUGUUAAGAAUUAAUUCAACGGUGAUCUCAUCUUUAUGAAAAGACACCCGUUCAAGAAAAGGUACGACCGUUCGUCGCCAGGAUGCAUGAAGCAAAGGACUCCGGGAAAUAGAGAUAGUUAGUGAUUAGGUGUCUGUUAGAAAAGGUGUCUGUUAGUGAAAAGUUGUAACUCUUUCUCUCUCUCUGUAAUCCACGAAGGGGUACAAAGACACCCCUUCACUGUGUAUAAAUAUGUACUAGAUCAAUG